CUACGGGGGGCUCCAGUGAGGAAUAUUGCACAAUGGGGGGAACCCUGAUGCAGCAACGCCGCGUGGAGGAUGACGCAUUUCGGUGUGUAAACUCCUUUUAUAUGUCAAGAAAAUGACGGUAGCAUAUGAAUAAGCACCGGCUAACUCCGUGCCAGCAGCCGCGGUAAUACGGAGGGUGCAAGCGUUACUCGGAAUCACUGGGCGGAAAGGACGCGUAGGCGGGUUGGAAAGUCAGGUGUGAAAUCCUACAGCUUAACUGUAGAACUGCACUUGAAACUUCUAAUCUAGAGUAUGGGAGGGGGAGAUGGAAUUAGUGGUGUAGGGGUAAAAUCCGUAGAUAUCACUAGGAAUACCUAAAGCGAAGGCGAUCUCCUGGAACAUUACUGACGCUAAGGCGUGAAAGCGUGGGGAGCAAACAGGAUUAGAUACCCCCGUACUC
rnacentral:rRNA from 1 species